UUCUGGGCUGGUUUAUGGAAAGCAUAAGAGUGCACGGCUGCUGUGGUCACAAGGCAGCCCAUCGAGGUGACAGUUUCCCUUGAUGGCUGCCGUUCUGUUUGUGGCUACUGAUCUGCAACAUUUUGGGGAAAAUACAGUU
ensembl:snoRNA